rnacentral:tRNA from 1 species
GGCGAUGUAGCUCAGCCUGGUAGAGCACUGGUUUCAUAAGCCAGGGGUCGCGUGUUCAAAGCACGCCAUCGCCA